GUGAGUCAUCGAAUCUUUGAACGCACAUUGCGCCCCGUGGUAUUCCGCGGGGCAUGCCUGUUCGAGCGUCAUUAUAACCAAUCCAGCUCGCUGGGUCUUGGGCACCGCCUCCUGGCGGGCCUCAAAAUCAGUGGCGGUACGGCCGGGCUCUAAGCGUAGUAAACUUUCUCGCUAUAGGGUCCCGGGCGGCACUAGCCAGCAACCCCCAAUCUUUCACAGGUUGACCUCGGAUCAGGUAGGGAUACCCGCUGAACUUAAGCAUAUCAAUAAGCGGAGGA
rnacentral:misc_RNA from 1 species